rnacentral:piRNA from 1 species
CCGGAGAGCAUUGCGAGGGCGGAGCUGA